GGAGGAUCUCCGCCUCGGCGAGGAAAUCGCUCGGUGCCCUAGUUGCUCCCUCUACAUCACCGUCAUUUACAACAUUGAAGACUUCAUCGGCAGCGACGAUAAAUCAAAAAAGAAGAAUCUCGAGCCUGCAAAGCAGCAGCCUGUCGCCGUCGCUUAAAGCAUAAUUUCGAGGUUUUCACAUUUAAUGGUUGGACUCGAGAUGUUAACAGCUCAGAAUUAUGAUCUGUUUCUUUCUUUACGAAGAAUUGCUGUUACCGGUGCCGGUUCUGUUCAUUAUUUUGUUCGUUUCGAUUUCUUAGCUUAAAAACUAUAGUGAUAUACUUUUGAUGGUUGUGAGCAUACACAAUGAGCAAAGAUUGAUGUUUUGUAUGAAACAUGUUUGGAUUUAGUUUGAAACCGAGAAAUUCAAUGCUUUAGGAUUUGAAUUUUUCCUUUUUUUAAAAAAAAAAAAAAA
rnacentral:misc_RNA from 1 species